rnacentral:tRNA from 11 species
GGAGAGCUGUCCGAGUGGCUGAAGGAGCAUGAUUGGAAAUCAUGUAUAGGGCGAACGCUCUAUCGUGGGUUCAAAUCCCACGCUCUCCGCCA